UGCUCUAGUGGCCUAGUGGUUAGAGAGUACGCCUCGGAUGCGGGAGGUCGCGGAUUCGAACCCCGGCCAAGUAA